GACGAACGCUGGCGGCGUGCCUAAUACAUGCAAGUAGAACGCACAGUUUAUACCGUAGCUUGCUACACCAUAGACUGUGAGUUGCGAACGGGUGAGUAACGCGUAGGUAACCUGCCUGGUAGCGGGGGAUAACUAUUGGAAACGAUAGCUAAUACCGCAUAAUAUUGAUUAUUGCAUGAUAAUUGAUUGAAAGAUGCUAUUGCAUCACUACCAGAUGGACCUGCGUAGUAUUAGCUAGUAGGUGAGGUAACGGCUCACCUAGGCGACGAUACAUAGCCGACCUGAGAGGGUGAUCGGCCACACUGGGACUGAGACGCGGCCCAGACUCCUACGGGAGGCAGCAGUAGGGAAUCUUCGGCAAUGGACGAAAGUCUGACCGAGCAACGCCGCGUGAGUGAAGAAGGUUUUCGGAUCGUAAAGCUCUGUUGUAAGAGAAGAACGGGUGUGAGAGUGGAAAGUUCGCACUGUGACGGUAUCUUACCAGAAAGGGACGGCUAACUACGUG
rnacentral:rRNA from 1 species